GAUGAACGCUAGCGGCAGGCCUAACACAUGCAAGUCGAGGGGUAACAUAGAAAAGCUUGCUUUUCUGAUGACGACCGGCGCACGGGUGCGUAACGCGUAUACAACCUACCUUUUAGCGGGGAAUAGCCCAGGGAAACUUGGAUUAAUGCCCCAUAGUAUAUAGACUUCUCCUGAAGUUUAUAUUAAACAUUUAUGGCUAUUAGAUGGGUAUGCGUCCUAUUAGUUAGUUGGUAAGGUAACGGCUUACCAAGGCUACGAUAGGUAGGGGUCCUGAGAGGGAGAUCCCCACACUGGUACUGAGACACGGACCAGACUCCUACGGGAGGCAGCAGUGAGGAAUAUUGGACAAUGGGCGAGAGCCUGAUCCAGCCAUGCCGCGUGCAGGAAGACUGCCCUAUGGGUUGUAAACUGCUUUUACAGAGGAAGAACCACCCCCACGUGUGGGGGUUUGACGGUACUCUGCGAAUAAGGAUCGGCUAACUCCGUG
rnacentral:rRNA from 1 species